AUACGGAGGAUCCGAGCGUUAUCCGGAUUUAUUGGGUUUAAAGGGUGCGCAGGCGGGAGAUUAAGUCGGCGGUGAAAUUUUGCAGCUCAACUGUAAAAGUGCCUUCGAAACUGGUUUCCUUGAGUGUAGAUGAAGUAGGCGGAAUUUGUGGUGUAGCGGUGAAAUGCAUAGAUAUCACGAGGAACUCCGAUUGCGCAGGCAGCUUACUAAACUACUACUGACGCUCAGGCACGAAGGCGUGGGGAUCAGACAGGAUUAGAUACCCUGGUAGUCCACGCAGUAAACGAUGAUUACUAGCUGUUUGCGAUACAAUGUAAGCGGCUGAGCGAAAGUGUUAAGUAAUCCACCUGGGGAGUACGUUCGCAAGAAUGAAACUCAAAUGAAUUGACGGGG
rnacentral:rRNA from 1 species